CCAGGAGGAUCCUCUGACUCCGAGAUACUUGAAUGGGGCAUCUGCUGGCAGAACGGAGCCCAGGCUUUCAGUUUCAGUUUCCUUUUUCGCUUUCCCAGAAAGAGAGCUCCUUCCAUGGUCCUUGUUCCAGCAGCUCCUCCCUCUCCUGUAAGACACAGAAGCUCCAGAGUGUCGUCCACCCACAUUGGACAUUUCCCUGGGUCCACAGUUCAAUCAGCACCCCUUUCUCAGUCCCAGGGCUGAGUGUGGGCAUUCGAACCAUGUUCCUUGUUGCAAGAGGUCACCAAAAGGAUGUGACCACUGGUUGAACUGGGAGCUGGACCGGGGCAAUUGGAGGCUCCAUAUCUCUUCCUUUAUCCUUGGAAUGUAUAUUCUGCCCACUUUUCUCAUUUCAAGUCACUUCAAGACACAACCUUGAAAAAGAAGAAGAUUACUACUUUGCUACCCAGCAGGAGGAAGGAAGGAUUUCUCCUUGCCUGGCAACGGCCCAGCCAAUGAGAGACUGUCACAACUCAGCCAAAGAAAAGCCACUACACUUCAAACUCGUAGUUUCCUCCAAUGGAUUCU